rnacentral:rRNA from 1 species
AGCGAACGCUGGCGGCAGGCCUAACACAUGCCAGUCGAACGAACCUUUCGGGGUUAGUGGCGGACGGGUGAGUAACACGUGGGAACGUGCCUUUAGGUUCGGCAUAACUCAGGGAAACUUGUGCUAAUACCGAAUGUGCCCUUCGGGGGAAAGAUUUAUCGCCUUUAGAUCGGCCCGCGUCUGAUUAGCUAGUUGGUUGAGGUAAUGGCUCACCAAGGCGACGAUCAGUAGCUGGUCUGAGAGGAUGAUCAGCCACCUUGGGACUGAGACACGGCCCAAACUCCUACGGGAGGCAGCAGUGGGGAAUCUUGCGCAAUGGGCGAAAGCCUGACGCAGCCAGGCCGCGUGAAUGAUGAAGGUCUGAGGAUUGUAAAAUUCUUUCACCGGGGACGAUAAUGACGGUACCCGGAGAAGAAGCCCCGGCUAACUUCGUG